GGGUUGUGAGGUUAAGCGAAUAAGCGUACACGGUGGAUGCCUAGGCAAUCAGAGGCGAUGAAGGACGUGCUAAUCUGCGAAAAGCGUCGGUAAGGUGAUAUGAACCGUUAUACCCGACGAUAUCCGAAUGGGGAAACCCAGUAUCCAAUGGAUACUAUCAUUAACUGAAUCCAUAGGUUAAUGAGGCGAACCGGGAGAACUGAAACAUCUCAGUACCCCGAGGAAAAGAAAUCAACCGAGAUUCCCCUAGUAGCGGCGAGCGAACGGGGAGCAGCCCAGAGUCUUAAUCAAUAGCAGUGUCAGGAGAACGGUCUGGAAAGUCCGGCAGUAAAGGGUGAUAGCCCCGUAUCUGAAGAUGCUGUUAUUGUGAACUCGACGAGUAGGGCGGGACACGUGUUAUCCUGUCUGAAUAUGGGGGGACCAUCCUCCAAGGCUAAAUACUCCUGAUUGACCGAUAGUGAACCAGUACCGUGAGGGAAAGGCGAAAAGAACCCCGGCGAGGGGAGUGAAAAAGAACCUGAAACCGUGUACGUACAAGCAGUAGGAGCCUCUUUAUGGGGUGACUGCGUACCUUUUGUAUAAUGGGUCAGCGACUUAUAUUCUGUAGCAAGGUUAACCGUAUAGGGGAGCCGUAGGGAAACCGAGUCUUAACUGGGCGAAUGAGUUGCAGGGUAUAGACCCGAAACCCGGUGAUCUAUCCAUGGGCAGGUUGAAGGUUGGGUAACACUAACUGGAGGACCGAACCGACUAAUGUUGAAAAAUUAGCGGAUGACUUGUGGAUGGGGGUGAAAGGCCAAUCAAACCGGGAGAUAGCUGGUUCUCCCCGAAAGCUAUUUAGGUAGCGCCUCGUGAACUCAUCUUCGGGGGUAGAGCACUGUUUCGACUAGGGGGUCAUCCCGACUUACCAACUCGAUGCAAACUGCGAAUACCGAAGAAUGUUAUCACGGGAGACACACGGCGGGUGCUAACGUCCGUCGUGAAGAGGGAAACAACCCAGACCGCCAGCUAAGGUCCCAAAGUCAUGGUUAAGUGGGAAACGAAGUGGGAAGGCUCAGACAGCCAGGAUGUUGGCUUAGAAGCAGCCAUCAUUUAAAGAAAGCGUAAUAGCUCACUGGUCGAGUCGGCCCGCGCGGAAGAUGUAACGGGGCUAAACCAUGCACCGAAGCUGCGGCAGCGA
rnacentral:rRNA from 2 species